UGGGGAAUAUUGCACAAUGGGCGAAAGCCUGAUGCAGCGACGCCGCGUGAGGGAUGACGGCCUUCGGGUUGUAAACCUCUUUCAGCAGGGACGAAGCGCAAGUGACGGUACCUGCAGAAGAAGCACCGGCUAACUACGUGCCAGCAGCCGCGGUAAUACGUAGGGUGCAAGCGUUGUCCGGAAUUACUGGGCGUAAAGAGUUCGUAGGCGGUUUGUCGCGUCGUUUGUGAAAACCAGCAGCUCAACUGCUGGCUUGCAGGCGAUACGGGCAGACUUGAGUGCUGCAGGGGAGACUGGAAUUCCUGGUGUAGCGGUGAAAUGCGCAGAUAUCAGGAGGAACGACGGUGGCGAAGGCGGGUCUCUGGGCAGUAACUGACGCUGAGGAACGAAAGCGUGGGUAGCGAACAGG
rnacentral:rRNA from 1 species